rnacentral:rRNA from 1 species
ACGCUAGCUACAGGCUUAACACAUGCAAGUCGAGGGGCAUCAGGAAGAAAGCUUGCUUUCUUUGCCGGCGACCGGCGCACGGGUGAGUAACACGUAUCCAAUCUGCCCUUUACUCGGGGAUAGCCUUUCGAAAGAAAGAUUAAUACCCGAUAGCAUAAUGAUUCCGCAUGGUUUCAUUAUUAAAGGAUUCCGGUAAAGGAUGGGGAUGCGUUCCAUUAGGUUGUUGGUGAGGUAACGGCUCACCAAGCCUUCGAUGGAUAGGGGUUCUGAGAGGAAGGUCCCCCACAUUGGAACUGAGACACGGUCCAAACUCCUACGGGAGGCAGCAGUGAGGAAUAUUGGUCAAUGGGCGCUAGCCUGAACCAGCCAAGUAGCGUGAAGGAUGAAGGCUCUAUGGGUCGUAAACUUCUUUUAUAUAAGAAUAAAGUGCAGUAUGUAUACUGUUUUGUAUGUAUUAUAUGAAUAAGGAUCGGCUAACUCCGUGCCAGCAGCCGCGGUAAUACGGAGGAUCCGAGCGUUAUCCGGAUUUAUUGGGUUUAAAGGGAGCGUAGGUGGACUGGUAAGUCAGUUGUGAAAGUUUGCGGCUCAACCGUAAAAUUGCAGUUGAUACUGUCAGUCUUGAGUACAGUAGAGGUGGGCGGAAUUCAUGGUGUAGCGGUGAAAUGCUUAGAUAUCACGAAGAACUCCGAUUGCGAAGGCAGCUCACUGGACUGCAACUGACACUGAUGCUCGAAAGUGUGGGUAUCAAACAGGAUUAGAUACCCUGGUAGUCCACACAGUAAACGAUGAAUACUCGCUGUUUGCGAUAUACAGUAAGCGGCCAAGCGAAAGCAUUAAGUAUUCCACCUGGGGAGUACGCCGGCAACGGUGAAACUCAAAGGAAUUGACGGGGGCCCGCACAAGCGGAGGAACAUGUGGUUUAAUUCGAUGAUACGCGAGGAACCUUACCCGGGCUUAAAUUGCAGUGGAAUGAUGUGGAAACAUGUCAGUGAGCAAUCACCGCUGUGAAGGUGCUGCAUGGUUGUCGUCAGCUCGUGCCGUGAGGUGUCGGCUUAAGUGCCAUAACGAGCGCAACCCUUAUCUUCAGUUACUAACAGGUCAUGCUGAGGACUCUGGAGAGACUGCCGUCGUAAGAUGUGAGGAAGGUGGGGAUGACGUCAAAUCAGCACGGCCCUUACGUCCGGGGCUACACACGUGUUACAAUGGGGGGUACAGAAGGCAGCUAGCGGGUGACCGUAUGCUAAUCCCAAAAUCCUCUCUCAGUUCGGAUCGAAGUCUGCAACCCGACUUCGUGAAGCUGGAUUCGCUAGUAAUCGCGCAUCAGCCACGGCGCGGUGAAUACGUUCCCGGGCCUUGUACACACCGCCCGUCAAGCCAUGGGAGCCGGGGGUACCUGAAGUACGUAACAGCAAGGAUCGUCCUAGGGUAAAACUGGU